rnacentral:rRNA from 1 species
UACGUAGGUGGCAAGCGUUGUCCGGAUUUACUGGGCGUAAAGCGUGCGCAGGCGGUUUCUUAAGUCAGAUGUGAAAGCCCCGGGCUUAACCUGGGAACUGCGUUUGAAACUGGGAGACUUGAGUGUGGCAGAGGGGGGUGGAAUUCCACGUGUAGCAGUGAAAUGCGUAGAUAUGCGGAGGAACACCGAUGGCGAAGGCAAUCCCCUGGGCCUGCACUGACGCUCAUGCACGAAAGCGUGGGGAGCAAACAGG